AAAACAGAAAUAAAAUAGAAGUUUGGAAAGAUUUAACCGAGAGAGAGGUGAAGAUCUCUGUCUGCGUUUCCACUGAGCUGCUCUCUCGCUGCCCAAAGGCAGCGCCUAUCUGCCCGUCUCAGCUCCCCCUGUCUUCUUCCUUUAUCUGCGCCUCCUGCGCUCCACGUAUAUCCUCUCGCUGACCUCCUCAUAUUUCUGCUGUCCUCACGCUGUCAGGCUGCAUAGGGCAGCUCCCUGCAAUCCUCCUGUCCUCACGUCAGUCCUCUCUUUGAUGUCUCCCCUGGCUGACUCUGUGCUGCCUUGCUACUCCCGCCUGCUUCCCUUCUUUUCUCACCUGGAUUGCACUUACUGACCUUCUCCCUCCUCUGGCGCUGCCCCGUGUCCUGCGUUUCUUGUCAAGCUGCCCAAAGGGCAGCUUCCCCCCCCCCUC
rnacentral:lncRNA from 1 species